UAAUCACUGGUUCACACCAUAUUAAUUACCCAGCCACAGAGGGGAGUGCACAGGAGUAAAUUAGCUGGUGAGUUCAAAGGGGCCACUCCCCACAUUCCUUAAUUAAGAGAGCAGCUGGCAGCCGGUGCUGCGACUCCACUCCCUGGGGCCCUUCUCGGCUGCAUCUGCUGCGUUAGAAGGAGCGGGCAUUCAGCAGGCUUUUCGGGAGCCAAAGGUGGGAGCCAAAGAGGAAGGUGUUACUAGGGAGUGGGGAGGCCUCUGGGCACUGCUUUGAGGGCGUGGUGUGGGAUGGGGACUGAAAGGGGAAGGUAGGACCCCACCUAAGCCCUGUCUUUGUGUCUGCUUUCAUUUAAUCUGUCAGCAGGCACCAUGCCACGAGGAGCCACAGACCAAGAGGCUGCCUGGGGCAGGGAAGCCGGUGUGCACCCCUCCCUGGCUAGUCAGCUUAGGCAGCAGUGCCAU
rnacentral:lncRNA from 1 species